rnacentral:misc_RNA from 1 species
GCGGAGGAAAAGAAACCAACAGGGAUUGCCUCAGUAACGGCGAGUGAAGCGGCAACAGCUCAAAUUUGAAAUCUGGCUCCUUCGGGGCCCGAGUUGUAAUUUGCAGAGGAUGCUUCGGGUACGGGUUCCUUCCGAGUUCCCUGGAACGGGACGCCAUAGAGGGUGAGAGCCCCGUCUGGUAGGACACCCAGCCCGUGUGAAGCUCCCUCGACGAGUCGAGUAGUUUGGGAAUGCUGCUCUAACGGGAGGUAUACUCCUUCCAAGGCUAAAUACCGGCUGGAGACCGAUAGCGCACAAGUAGAGUGAUCGAAAGAUGAAAAGCACUUUGAAAAGAGAGUCAAAUAGCACGUGAAAUUGUUGAAAGGGAAGCGCUCGCUACCAGACAUGGGUUCGGCGGUUCAACCGGGGCCACGCCCCGGGGCACUCCGCCGGCCCAGGCCAGCAUCAGCUUUCCGUCGGGGGCAAAGGCGUCGGGAAUGUGGCUCUCCUUCGGGGGAGUGUUAUAGCCCGGCGUGUCAUACCCUUCGGGGGGCUGAGGUACGCGCUUCUGCAAGGAUGCUGGCGUAAUGGUAGCUAGUGACCCGUCUUGAAACACGGACCAAGGAGUCAACCUUAUGUGCGAGUGCCCGGGCGUAAAACCCCAGCGCGGAAUGAAAGUGAACGUAGGUGAGAGCUUCGGCGCAUCACCGACCGAUCCUGAUGUCCUCGGACGGAUUUGAGUGAGAGCAUAUAGGGUUGGACCCGAAAGAAGAUGAACUAUGCGUGUGUAGGGUGAAGCCAGAGGAAACUCUGGUGGAGGCUCGCAGCGGUUCUGACGUGCAAAUCG